UACGGAGGGUGCAAGCGUUAUCCGGAUUCACUGGGUUUAAAGGGUGCGUAGGCGGCGCGGAAAGUUGGGUGUGAAAUCCCUCGGCUCAACCGAGGAACUGCGCCCAAAACUACCGUGCUCGAGGAAGAUAGAGGUGAGCGGAACUUACGGUGGAGCGGUGAAAUGCGUUGAUAUCGUAAGGAACACCCGUGGCGAAAGCGGCUCACUGGGUCUUUUCUGACGCUGAUGCACGAAAGCUAGGGGAGCAAACGGG
rnacentral:rRNA from 1 species